AUAUUUAUAUAAAAUGAAUUAAGAAAUUAAAAAAUACCCAAAAUUUGAUUUUGGUGACUUGUUAGUUGUUGCAACCAUUUGCAGUUUCUUUAAAUGGAUAGUGAGAAUUUGGUUAAUGAAUUAAUAGAUGAUAAAGCAUGAAAUUGGUUCUAAAAUACAUACAUAUUUUGCUAAAAAAAUUUAACAAAAAUGGAGAUUAAAAAACAAAACAAAACAAAAAUUACACACUACUCCACCCAGUGGCUCAUGUCUCAAAUAACCGUAGAUCGUUCGAAUCGAUCUUUAUUCUCUUCUUCUGUGGUGAAUGAAGGAUGAAUUAGAGCUCAACCUUCGUACUUAUAUCAACAAUUUUGCUCCUUCCAUGCUCCACCUUGCAUAAGCACACUCGAUUGACUGAUUGUUCCUGUUAUUCUAAUUCGAUAAUUUCCUGCAUCAACAUAUGUUUCAUUUUUUGUGUUUUAUGCAUGUAAAACUAUGCAUAAAUUGAUCUUCAAAAAAAAUAGUUAGAUAAGACUUACAAUAGGGAUUACAACCAAAAGAUCCAAUUAAUUCAGUAUGGAAACGACUAUCUUGCAAAUGGAGCCGUUACAUCUUCACAAAUG
rnacentral:lncRNA from 1 species